UACAGAGGGCUCAAGCGUUGUUCGGAUUCAUUGGGCGUAAAGGGUGCGUAGGUGGCGAGGUAAGUCUGGUGUGAAAUCCCGGGGCUCAACCCCGGAACUGCACUGGAUACUGCCCUGCUGGAGUACUGGAGAGGAGAUUGGAAUUUACGGUGUAGCAGUGAAAUGCGUAGAUAUCGUAAGGAAGACCAGUGGCGAAGGCGAAUCUCUGGACAGUUACUGACACUGAGGCACGAAGGCCAGGGGAGCAAACGGG
rnacentral:rRNA from 1 species